rnacentral:lncRNA from 1 species
CCCAAAUUCAAAUUCCAUACUUUUCUCCUAAAUUUCAGACCCCACCAAUUUAAAUCCCAUCCAACCUCUUGGUACCACCAGCAACAGUCCACCGCUUGACCGACUCAAGCCAAUGCUAGGAGAGUUUCGGUCAAACUCUGACUCUCCCCCACGUGAGCAGCAAAAUUCCCAACCUUACGUGCGAGAUGAAGCUUGAACCUCGAACCUCCGUCCAUCUUGCGCCCUUGCGCCUUCGCCUGAGCUGCUGGCCACUGCACUACGCUUUCUUCUUUU